GCGACUUAGACAAUAUCUCUAUGAUAUUACAUCUGGGAAGGCGUCUACUGCACUCAGCGACAUGGUGCUUCAGAAAAACAUUGAUGUCCUGUGGAGCCAAGCCAUCAUUUUAGAGAAUAACACUGGGAGAGACUAUAUUUGCGAAAAAUGGCACAUCUUUAAGGAAAGCUUUAACGCGGACAUUAUUAAUAUUAAAGAUAUGGACAAUCUACCAGCGGCUUGGGAGUUCCUUAUCAAAUACAUAAAGGGGUGGCUGAACUCAUAUCUUGUAUGCGCACGUCGCGGCGUCCUGUCGCAUAUUCUUGCG
rnacentral:lncRNA from 1 species